AGAACAAACGGGUUACAUUAACAACACAAGAAGCCGAAACUAAAACAAGAUACAAGAUAGGUAGUUAGACAAGUGUUGAUGUAGUCUUAACAACCGAAGAGCAUAUUCCACUUUUGGACCUUUAAAACUUCACACAACAAACACCUAACUCUUACAAUUGACACAAGAGAGGCGUCCACCACCCAAGCACCAAUGUAUCAAGCAAAAUGCAACACAUAAGAGAAUCCACCCUUAUGUUAUUCCCU
rnacentral:lncRNA from 1 species